rnacentral:lncRNA from 1 species
GACUUGCAUUACAAAAACCCAAACAUCAACGGAAUAUGUGGAUUGAAGUAACUUUUGAAGAGUGAAAAGAGAAGGGUUGAUUCUAAGUGGAAGGGAGCACAAAUUGCAAAAAUUGAAGUGCUGUAUCUCAAAUCAUUGUUAAAUGUUUCUUUCUCCGCAAGUAAUUCUAAGUUGCCAGCCAGUUCUGUCAUUAGGGAAUUUUCUAUCCUAAAGGCUUUCAAUGUUUCAAUCCACCCUCCAAAGUUGCUUAUAGUGAUGGAAGUCGUCUGGAGUCCCCCAGUUUCGGGAUGGAUUAAAGGUAACUGCGAUGGAGCUUUUGCUGUAGGGAAGGCAGUAUGUGGAGCAAAUUUUAGAAACUCUAAGGGUUAAUUCAUGGGAUGCUUUGCAGAAGGUCUGAACAAUGGUAGUGGUUCAAGCUUUCAAGUCUCAAGACAUUAUUCCUUGGCAGCUAAGAAAAAAAAUGUAGUAACUGUCUUAAUAUGACUUCAAGCAUGAAUUUCAUAGUUUUUCACAUCUCUUUAGGGAGGGCAAUGCUUGUGCAGAUGCUCUUGCUAAUAUAGGCUUAACUCUAGAUACUUAUGUGUAUUAUUACUCUUCACCUAUAUAAGUAAGGAGUGAUUAUCUUAAAAAUAGGCUAGGUAGAGCUACUUUUUGGUUUAAUCACUCUUGAGAAGGUUUAAGUGUUAUCCCCCUUCUUUGGUUAAUAUACUAGGGAUAAUAUCUCCUUGCUACUCCUUGUUUUUUAAAAAAAAAUUGCAAAAAUUAAAGUAGAGAAGGUUGAGAGGGUAAAUGGUUUAGAUUGGUCGGUUGGAGAAACAAGUAUGUGAAGCAAAAAUUGAAAAUGAAAAUGAUUUAUACACUCAGUGUGCCACAUAAGCAUACUUGCACUUCUUUACAUUGUUAUUAUCAAAAUAUCAUACGUGGAGUAUUAUGAGUGAACCAAAUUGGUUUUUACAUACACGGGGGCGCGCGCGCACAGUCUCUCUCUCUAAAUUUGUGUUACUACUCUCUCCGUCUCAAAUUGUAUGUCGUUUACAAUAUUAAUAAAACAUUAAUGUUAUUUUUCCUAUCAUAUCCUUAAUUAUUUAUUACUCUCUCUUCUUUUAAUUCUU